GACGAACCGUCCGAACGUUAUUCGGAAUCACUGGGCUUAAAGGGCGCGUAGGCGGAUCCGCAAGUCAGGGGUGAAAUCCCACGGCUCAACCGUGGAAGAGCCUUUGAUACUGCGGGUCUAGAGGGAUGUAGGGGCGUGCGGAACUUCCGGUGGAGCGGUGAAAUGCGUAGAUAUCGGAAGGAACACCGGUGGCGAAAGCGGCACGCUGGACAUCUACUGACGCUGAGGCGCGAAAGCCAGGGGAGCAAACGGGAUUAGAUACCCCGGUAGUCCUGGCCCUAAACGAUGGGUACUAGAUUGUGGGCUUACAUGGGCUCACAGUCGAAGCAAAAGUAUUAAGUACCCCGCCUGGGGAGUAUGGUCGCAAGGCUGAA
rnacentral:rRNA from 1 species